UACGAAGGGUGCAAGCGUUUAAUCGGAAUUACUGGGCGUAAAGCGUGCGCAGGCGGUUUGUUAAGUCUGUUGUGAAAUCCCCCGAGCUCAACUUGGGAAUUGCAAUGGAUACUGGCAGGCUGGAGUAUGGUAGAGGAAGGUGGAAUUCCCGGUGUAGCAGUGAAAUGCGCAGAUAUCAGGAGGAACACCGGUGGCGAAGGCGGGACUCUGGGCCGAUACUGACGCUGAGGAGCGAAAGCGUGGGGAGCAAACAGG
rnacentral:rRNA from 1 species